rnacentral:rRNA from 1 species
GUGAGUCAUCGAAUCUUUGAACGCACAUUGCGCCCCUUGGUAUUCCGGGGGGCAUGCCUGUUCGAGCGUCAUUACACCAAUCAAGCACCGCUUGGUAUUAGGUCUCUUCGCCUCCCCUGCCCUCACCGGCGGGAGGCGGGCCUCAAACACUUCGGCGGGGCCUCUUGGGCUUUGGGCGUAGCAGAAUUUAUCUAAAACGUCCUUGGGUCUCUCGAGUCUCCUGCCGCUUGAAACCGAAUCGGAACACCCCGCGCGAGCGGGAAUUCCCCUUCACUUUUUCAAAGGUUGACCUCGGAUCAGGUAGGAAUACCCGCUGAACUUAA